AAGAACAGUGUUUGAGGUUUAGUUGUCUGGAUAGGUCAAAGACUAUUUACAUGCAGUUCAUUAUGUGCGACUAAUGCGGUAAAGAUGCAUGUUAUAUGAUGAAUAAUAAUGAUUGAUUGGGUUUGUGUCUCUUUCAUGUAGGUUGUUGAGAGUGGGGGGAAAAACAUUGAAGUUGCUGUGAUGACUAAGGAUGGUCUGCGGCAGCUUGAUGAAGCUGAAAUUGAUGCAAUUGCAGCAAAGAUUGAAGCAGAGAAGGAAGCAGCUGAGGCUGCAAAGAAGGCCCCUCCAAAGGACAAUGAAGCAUCAACUGUAACUUUUCAUUUCUUUUUCUCUUUUCUUCUAGUUGAUUGGCUUUGAAGUUUGUUUCAUUGUACACAUGAGGGAUUCGUUUACUGUUGGUUAUUUCAGUUAAGAAUUUCAACACUUUCCGGAGGUUGAAGCUAUUUCUGCAGGUUUUAUUUGCUUUUAAAUUAUAGUUAAGACUGUUU